AGCAGUAGCAACGUGAAUUGAAGAGAGGAGAGGUGAGGGUUUUCUUUCACUAUUCAUCAUCAUCUUCUUGGAGCCAUAUCUCACUCUCCAGAGCUCCGAUUUGCAUGCCGUCAGUUGUCAUGCAAAACUCUCGUCAAACUCUUCGAUUUCAUCUGAAAAAAAUGGUACAAUCUAGCAACGGAUAAUUAGUGAGUUUUGUCCCAAUCCACAUUAGGCAAGGAGCAUUUGGAUUGGAAUUGGUGCCUUAAUUUUGGUUGAAAGCUUGUAUGGACUCAAAUUUGGUGUAUUAUACAUAUUGGAAAUUAACCAAGAUGGAGGUCGUAACCCACCUCGGUGAGUUGCUUGGUGGUGACAAAACGGAGGAUCUCCUAUUGUCUUUUGCAUUUUGAUUUCUUAUGUUUAAUACUCUCACUUUUAUUUUUAUUUGCCUUAGAGGCUAAGUUUGAGAGAGAUAUUGUAUAUACUAUUUUAACUUUCAGAAUUCUGUAUGUUUGUAUAUAACUAGUCGGCCUAAACUUUACAAGUUGCGGCUAGUACUUUAUGACUAUU